AGGGCACCACCAGGAGUGGAGCCUGCGGCUUAAUUUGACUCAACACGGGAAAACUCACCCGGCCCGGACACUGGAAGGAUUGACAGAUUGAGAGCUCUUUCUUGAUUCAGUGGGUGGUGGUGCAUGGCCGUUCUUAGUUGGUGGAGUGAUUUGUCUGGUUAAUUCCGAUAACGAACGAGACUCUAGCCUACUAAAUAGAUCGUCGGCUUACAAACGCCGGCGAGACUUCUUAGAGGGACAGGCGGUGAUUCAACCGCACGAAACAGAGCAAUAACAGGUCUGUGAUGCCCUUAGAUGUCCGGGGCCGCACGCGCGCUACACUGAAGUGAUCAGCGUGCAUUUUCUACCUACUCUGUCAAGAGUGGGGAACCCAAUGAACCUUCUUCGUGAUUGGGAUAGGGGAUUGUAAUUAUUCCCCUUGAACGAGGAAUUCCCAGUAAGCGCGAGUCAUAAGCUCGCGUUGAUUACGUCCCUGCCCUUUGUACACACCGCCCGUCGCUACUACCGAUUGAAUGUUUU
rnacentral:rRNA from 1 species